rnacentral:sRNA from 1 species
CUGUAACUGGUCAGUACUGUAACCCCAACACAAACACUGACUUGGGUUCCACAUGCAGUAAGUGCUUUUUGUUGGGGUAGUUUUACUGA